rnacentral:rRNA from 1 species
ACGAACGCUGGCGGCGUGCUUAACACAUGCAAGUCGAACGGGAUUUAGUAAACGGAAGCCUCGGUGGAAGAUUACUAAUGAGAGUGGCGAACGGGUGAGUAACGCGUGAGCAACCUGCCUAUGACAGUGGGAUAGCCUCGGGAAACCGGGAUUAAUACCGCAUAAAAUCGUAGAAACACAUGUUUCAACGGUCAAAGAUUUAUCGGUCAUAGAUGGGCUCGCGUCUGAUUAGCUAGUUGGUGAGAUAACAGCCCACCAAGGCGACGAUCAGUAGCCGGUCUGAGAGGAUGAACGGCCACAUUGGAACUGAGACACGGUCCAAACUCCUACGGGAAGCAGCAGUGGGGAAUAUUGCACAAUGGGGGAAACCCUGAUGCAGCGACGCCGCGUGAACGAAGAAGGUAUUCGUAUCGUAAAGUUCUGUCCUAUGGGAAGAUAAUGACAGUACCAUAGAAGAAAGCGCCGGCUAAAUACGUG